UGCAGUCGAACGGAUCCUUCGGGAUUAGUGGCAGACGGGUGAGUAACGCGUGGGAAGCUACCUUGUGGUAGGGGACAACAGUUGGAAACGACUGCUAAUACCCUAUGAGCCCUAUGGGGGAAAGAUUUAUCGCCAUGAGAUGUGCCCGCGUUAGAUUAGCUAGUUGGUAAGGUAAUGGCUUACCAAGGCGACGAUCUAUAGCUGGUCUGAGAGGAUGAUCAGCCACACUGGGACUGAGACACGGCCCAGACUCCUACGGGAGGCAGCAGUGGGGAAUAUUGGACAAUGGGGGCAACCCUGAUCCAGCCAUGCCGCGUGUGUGAUGACGGCCUUAGGGUUGUAAAGCACUUUCAGCAGUGAAGAUAAUGACAUUAACUGCAGAAGAAGCCCCGGCUAACUUCGUGCCAGCAGCCGCGGUAAUACGAAGGGGGCUAGCGUUGUUCGGAAUCACUGGGCGUAAAGAGUACGUAGGCGGACUGAUAAGUUAGGGGUGAAAUCCCAAGGCUCAACCUUGGAACUGCCUUUGAUACUGUCAGUCUUGAGAUCGAGAGAGGUGAGUGGAACUCCGAGUGUAGAGGUGAAAUUCGUAGAUAUUCGGAAGAACACCAGUGGCGAAGGCGGCUCACUGGCUCGAUACUGACGCUGAGGUACGAAA
rnacentral:rRNA from 1 species